CUCUGCAUAGGAAAGUGACCCUGGGCUGCCCGUGUCCCGGUCAUUGAUAGUGCUGGGAGAGGAAUUGUUUGGAGGGUCCACUCCUGUCCCUUCCAGACCGUGAAGCUUUUUCACA